GAUUUCUGACGAAACUGCUAGCUGGCCCGCCACGCAAGUGUGUGAGUGCCGGCUUGGCGUUUGUCAUCCGUUCGAAUGAUAUGCGUGCUGCCCUUCACUGGGUUGGCGCUGCAUGUUUUCGAUCUUUUACUUUGAAAAAAUUAGAGUGUUUAAAGCAGGCGUGUGCUAUGAAUACAUUAGCAUGGAAUAAUGAUUUAGGACUUUAGUCUUAUUUUGUUGGUUUCCAGGACUGAAGUAAUGAUUGAUAGGGAUAGUUGGGGGUGCUAGUAUUCAGCGGCCAGAGGUGAAAUUCUUGGAUUCGCUGAAGACUAACUUAUGCGAAAGCAUU
rnacentral:rRNA from 1 species